UUAAGCGACUAAGCGUACACGGUGGAUGCCCUGGCAGUCAGAGGCGAUGAAGGACGUGCUAAUCUGCGAAAAGCGUCGGUAAGGUGAUAUGAACCGUUAUAACCGGCGAUGUCCGAAUGGGGAAACCCAGUGCAAUUCGUUGCACUAUCGUUAACUGAAUACAUAGGUUAACGAGGCGAACCGGGGGAACUGAAACAUCUAAGUACCCCGAGGAAAAGAAAUCAACCGAGAUUCCCCCAGUAGCGGCGAGCGAACGGGGAGCAGCCCAGAGUCUGAAUCAGCUUGUGUGUUAGUGGAACGGUCUGGAAAGUCCGACGGUACAGGGUGAUAGUCCCGUACACCAAAAUGCACAGGUUGUGAACUCGAAGAGUAGGGCGGGACACGUGGUAUCCUGUCUGAAUAUGGGGGGACCAUCCUCCAAGGCUAAAUACUCCUGACUGACCGAUAGUGAACCAGUACCGUGAGGGAAAGGCGAAAAGAACCCCGGCGAGGGGAGUGAAAAAGAACCUGAAACCGUGUACGUACAAGCAGUGGGAGCACCUUCGGGUGUGACUGCGUACCUUUUGUAUAAUGGGUCAGCGACUUAUAUUCUGUAGCAAGGUUAACCGUAUAGGGGAGCCGCAGGGAAACCGAGUCUUAACUGGGCGUUAAGUUGCAGGGUAUAGACCCGAAACCCGGUGAUCUAGCCAUGGGCAGGUUGAAGGUUGGGUAACACUAACUGGAGGACCGAACCGACUAAUGUUGAAAAAUUAGCGGAUGACUUGUGGCUGGGGGUGAAAGGCCAAUCAAACCGGGAGAUAGCUGGUUCUCCCCGAAAGCUAUUUAGGUAGCGCCUCGUGAACUCAUCUUCGGGGGUAGAGCACUGUUUCGGCUAGGGGGUCAUCCCGACUUACCAACCCGAUGCAAACUACGAAUACCGAAGAAUGUUAUCACGGGAGACACACGGCGGGUGCUAACGUCCGUCGUGAAGAGGGAAACAACCCAGACCGCCAGCUAAGGUCCCAAAGUCAUGGUUAAGUGGGAAACGAUGUGGGAAGGCACAGACAGCCAGGAUGUUGGCUUAGAAGCAGCCAUCAUUUAAAGAAAGCGUAAUAGCUCACUGGUCGAGUCGGCCUGCGCGGAAGAUGUAACGGGGCUAAACCAUGCACCGAAGCUGCGGCAGCGACACUAUGUGUUGUUGGGUAGGGGAGCGUUCUGUAAGCCUGCGAAGGUGUGCUGUGAGGCAUGCUGGAGGUAUCAGAAGUGCGAAUGCUGACAUAAGUAACGAUAAAGCGGGUGAAAAGCCCGCUCGCCGGAAGACCAAGGGUUCCUGUCCAACGUUAAUCGGGGCAGGGUGAGUCGACCCCUAAGGCGAGGCCGAAAGGCGUAGUCGAUGGGAAACAGGUUAAUAUUCCUGUACUUGGUGUUACUGCGAAGGGGGGACGGAGAAGGCUAUGUUAGCCGGGCGACGGUUGUCCCGGUUUAAGCAUGUAGGCUGGUUAUCCAGGCAAAUCCGGAUAAUCAAGGCUGAGGUGUGAUGACGAGGCACUACGGUGCUGAAGUAACAAAUGCCCUGCUUCCAGGAAAAGCCUCUAAGCAUCAGGUAACAUCAAAUCGUACCCCAAACCGACACAGGUGGUCAGGUAGAGAAUACCAAGGCGCUUGAGAGAACUCGGGUGAAGGAACUAGGCAAAAUGGUGCCGUAACUUCGGGAGAAGGCACGCUGGUGUGUAGGUGAAGUCCCUGCGGAUGGAGCUGAGACCAGUCGAAGAUACCAGCUGGCUGCAACUGUUUAUUAAAAACACAGCACUGUGCAAACACGAAAGUGGACGUAUACGGUGUGACGCCUGCCCGGUGCCGGAAGGUUAAUUGAUGGGGUUAUCCGUAAGGAGAAGCUCUUGAUCGAAGCCCCGGUAAACGGCGGCCGUAACUAUAACGGUCCUAAGGUAGCGAAAUUCCUUGUCGGGUAAGUUCCGACCUGCACGAAUGGCGUAAUGAUGGCCAGGCUGUCUCCACCCGAGACUCAGUGAAAUUGAACUCGCUGUGAAGAUGCAGUGUACCCGCGGCAAGACGGAAAGACCCCGUGAACCUUUACUAUAGCUUGACACUGAACAUUGAGCCUUGAUGUGUAGGAUAGGUGGGAGGCUUUGAAGCGUGGACGCCAGUCUGCGUGGAGCCAACCUUGAAAUACCACCCUUUAAUGUUUGAUGUUCUAACGUUGGCCCCUGACCGGGGUUGCGGACAGUGUCUGGUGGGUAGUUUGACUGGGGCGGUCUCCUCCCAAAGCGUAACGGAGGAGCACGAAGGUUAGCUAAUCCUGGUCGGACAUCAGGAGGUUAGUGCAAUGGCAUAAGCUAGCUUGACUGCGAGCGUGACGGCGCGAGCAGGUGCGAAAGCAGGUCAUAGUGAUCCGGUGGUUCUGAAUGGAAGGGCCAUCGCUCAACGGAUAAAAGGUACUCCGGGGAUAACAGGCUGAUACCGCCCAAGAGUUCAUAUCGACGGCGGUGUUUGGCACCUCGAUGUCGGCUCAUCACAUCCUGGGGCUGAAGUAGGUCCCAAGGGUAUGGCUGUUCGCCAUUUAAAGUGGUACGCGAGCUGGGUUUAGAACGUCGUGAGACAGUUCGGUCCCUAUCUGCCGUGGGCGCUGGAGAAUUGAGGGGGGCUGCUCCUAGUACGAGAGGACCGGAGUGGACGCAUCACUGGUGUUCGGGUUGUCAUGCCAAUGGCACUGCCCGGUAGCUAAAUGCGGAAGAGAUAAGUGCUGAAAGCAUCUAAGCACGAAACUUGCCCCGAGAUGAGUUCUCCCUGAGACUUUAAGUCUCCUGAAGGAACGUUGAAGACGACGACGUUGAUAGGCCGGGUGUGUAAGCGCAGCGAUGCGUUGAGCUAACCGGUACUAAUGAACCGUGAGGCUUAACCUU
rnacentral:rRNA from 2 species